UACGUAGGGGGCAAGCGUUGUCCGGAAUCAUUGGGCGUAAAGAGCGUGUAGGCGGUUCGAUAAGGGGGGUGGGAAAGUCCAGGGCUCAACCCUGGGAUGCCGGUCGAAACUGUCGGACUAGAGUUCGGAAGAGGCGAGUGGAAUUCCCGGUGUAGCGGUGAAAUGCGCAGAUAUCGGGAGGAACACCAAUGGCGAAGGCAGCUCGCUGGGACGUUACUGACGCUGAGACGCGAAAGCGUGGGGAGCGAACAGG
rnacentral:rRNA from 1 species